AAUGAGAUUGAACUUCUAUCCAGAGUUCAUCAUAAAAAUUUAGUAAGCCUUCUGGGAUUUUGCUUUGAGCGAGGUGAACAAAUGCUUGUGUAUGAGUUUGUUACCGAAUGGUAGUCUCAGUGAUAGUCUAUCAGGGAAGACAGGAAUCAGGUUGGAUUGGGUCAGGAGACUUAAAAUAGCCCUUGGUGCAGCAAGAGGUCUGGCCUAUAUGCAUGAACUUGCUGACCCUCCUAUUAUA